rnacentral:rRNA from 1 species
AUCAACGCUGGGCGGCGUGCCUCAGACAUGCAAGUCGAGCGCGAAAGGCUCCUUCGGGGGCCGAGUAGAGUGGCGCACGGGUGAGUAACACGUAGGUAAUUUGCCUUCGGGUGGGGAAUAACAGCCGGAAACGGCUGCUAAUACCGCAUAAUGCAGCGGCUCGACAUCGAGACAGUUGUUUAAAGCGGGGGGAUCGCAAGACCUCGCGCCUGAAGAGAAGCCUGCGGCGGAUUAGCUUGUUGGUAGGGUAAUGGCCUACCAAGGCGACGAUCCGUAACCGGCCUGAGAGGGCGGUCGGUCACACUGACACUGACAUACGGGUCAGACUCCUACGGGAGGCAGCAGUCGGGAAUUUUGGGCAAUGGGCGAAAGCCUGACCCAGCAACGCCCGCGUGAAGGAUGAAAUCCCUCGGGAUGUAAACUUCGCAAGAAUGGGGAAGAAUAAGUAGAGGAUAAUACCCUUUAUGAUGACGGUACCAUUUGUAAGCUCCGGCUAACUUCGUGCCAGCAGCCGCGGUAAUACGAGGGGAGCAAGCGUUGUUCGGAUUUACUGGGCGUAAAAGGGCGCGUAGGCGGUUUUGGUAAGACAAUGGUUAAAUCUCCAUGCUCAACAUGGAAGUCGCCGUUGUGACUGCCAGACUUGACGAUAGCAGGGGCAAGCAGAAUUCUCGGUGUAGGGGUGAAAUCCGUUGAGAUCGAGAGGAAUACCAACGGCGAAGGCAGCUUGCUAGGCUAUAUGUGACGCUGAGGCGCGGAAAAGCGUGGGGAGCGAACGGGAUUAGAUACCCCGGUAGUCCACGCCGUAAAACUAUGCACACUAGCUAUCAGAAGCAUCGACCCUUCUUGUAGCGAAGCUAACGCGUUAAGUGUGCCGCCCUGUGGAGUACCGGUCGCAAGACUAAAACAUAAAGGAAUUGACGGGGGAUCGCACAAGCGGUGGAGCAUGUGGUUUUAAUUCGACGGCAAAACGGAGAACCUUACCAGGGUUUGACAUCUACCGAAAGUCCUGGAAACAGGAACCGUGCCCGCAAGGGAACGGUAAGACAGGUGUUGCACGGCCGCCGUCAGCUCGUGGCGUGAGCUGUGCCCUUAAGUGGGGUAAAACGAGCGAAACCCUCAUCGUCUGUUGGAUUUUUCAGACGAGACUGCCCGAUUUUUCGGGAGGAAGGUGGGGAACGACGUCAGGUCAGCGUGGCCCUUACAACCCUGGGCUACACACAUGCUACAAUGGCACCGACAAAGGGUUUGCUAAGUCGCGAGGCGGAGCUAAUCCCAUCAAAAAGGUGCCCCAGUUCGGAUUGAAGGCUGCAACUCGCCUUCAUGAAGCCGGAAUCGCUAGUAAUCGCGUAUCAGCCAUGACGCGGUGAAUAUGUUUCCUGAGCCUUGUACACACUGCCCGUCAAGCCACGAAAGCGGGGAGCGCUCGAAGUCGCUUUGUCCAACCGCAAGGAGGACGGCGCCGAAAGCGAGACUCGUGAUUGGGACU